rnacentral:lncRNA from 1 species
CCAAACAUAUAAUUAAUUUCCCAACUAAAAGUCCAAUAUUUACACAAAAUAGGCCAAAAUUAACCGAGAGCCAUAACUACGCUCAUCAUUGCCUAACUUCGAUAUUCUUAAGUCGAAACGAUCCAAACUUAAAUAUCAUACUCAGCAGCCGUAAUUACAACCUCCCCGAAAAUACGACUUAAAUCCUACGGCUGAAUUCUACAUUAAUUAACCGCCAAAAAUACCAAACUUCGGAAAAUCAUAAACCUAUCCAAAACUCAUCCAAAAAUUCCAUAACUUACAACAAUAUACUCCCCUUAAUAUUCCACAUUUAAAAUUACACAAAACUCCCAAACAGCGGCGGUCGGAGGCCGAUUCCGGCGACCUCCAAUUCCUAUGAAAAUUGAAUAGCAUCUUCCUCUCAACAUCCCAAACAACUUUCAUAACUAUCACUAAGUCCAAUUUCAAGCCUAAAUAGGGUAAUCGAAACCAAACAUAUCAAGAAAACCCUAAGAAAUUCAAACACCCGAUUCUCCUUACCUAGCUCGAGUUAGGAUGAAUCCUUUUAGGGGUUUGCUGCUGGAAGAGAGAGCGUCCAAAUGAUACCAACAGCUCCGGCUAUGGUGGCCGGAAAAAGGAUUUUCCGGCGAAAACCCCGCCACGCACAGCAGCGGCUUCUCGGCAUGAUUUCUUCUUCACGGUGGCGCGGCACGGGCUGCCACCUAUCUAAACUUGUAGAGGAUGCUCCAAGCUUCAAAUCGACACCAAGCACGCCUCCUAUCUCGGCCGGACGGCGGCGGACGGUGGCCGGAAAGUUUCCGGGUCGGGAGAGCUCGGGGAUGAGGCCGGGAGGGAGAGAAGAGAAAGGGAAAAGAGAGGGCUGGGCUUUGACCACUUCUUGGCCCGGUCCAACACUCUUAAACAACCCAACUCCAAAAUAAAACACCCCGAAAAAUAAUACCCGAAUAAAAAUUACCUUUUACUAGCUAAAAUUUACCAUUUUUACCGUCAUCAUAAUUUUCUCCUACAAAUAAUCAUCCGCAUAUAAUCGUCCCCGAAACCCCUCUAGGGACCAAUUAAACCAUUACCUCGAUGACGGAGACGGUAAAAUUCUUAUUAUAACCAAGCUAGUAAAU